rnacentral:rRNA from 1 species
AGAGUUUGAUCCUGGCUCAGGAUGAACGCUGGCGGCGUGCUUUAUGCAUGCAAGUCGAACGAGAAGGGGCGGACUUCGGUCCGGCCUGGAGAGUGGCGAACGGGUGAGUAACACGUGAGUGACCUGCCCCGAGGUGGGGGACAACCGUGGGAAACCACGGCUAAUACCCCGUAGUCCUGUGCGUAUUGGUCGCGUACAGGUAUAGCUCCGGCGCCUCGGGAGGGGCUCGCGGUCGAUUAGCUAGUUGGUGGGGUAACGGCCUACCAAGGCGACGAUCGAUAGCUGGUCUGAGAGGACGAUCAGCCACACUGGGACUGAGAUACGGCCCAGACUCCUACGGGGGGCAGCAGCAAGGAAUAUUGGACAAUGGGCGCAAGCCUGAUCCAGCAACGCCGCGUGGAGGAAGAAGGCUUCGGUUGUAAACUCCUUUUGUGAGGGAUGAGACAAGGACAGUACCUCACGAAUAAGUCACGGCUAACUAGGUGCCAGCAGCCGCGGUAACACCUAGGUGACAAGCGUUAUCCGGAUUUACUGGGCGUAAAGGGCUCGAAGGCGGCAGCUCAAGUCCGGCGUGAAAUCUCCUGGCUUAACCAGGAGGGGUCGUCGGAUACUGUGCUGCUAGAGGCAGUGAGAGGGGUGCGGAAUUCUCGGUGGAGUGGUGGAAUACGUAGAUAUCGAGAGGAACACCAGUGGCGAAAGCGGCGCCCUGGCACUGACCUGACGUUCAUGAGCGAAAGCGUGGGGAGCGAACGGGAUUAGAUACCCCGGUAGUCCACGCUGUAAACGAUGAGUACUAGGUGUAGGCGACAACCGUGGUCUGUGCCGAAGCUAACGCGAUAAGUACUCCGCCUGGGGACUACGGCCGCAAGGCUAAAACUCAAAGGAAUUGACGGGGACCCGCACAAGCAGCGGAGCGUGUUGUUUAAUUCGAUGUAACGCGAAGAACCUUACCUGGGUUUGACAUGUGCGUAGUAGUGAAGCGAAAGCCGAACGACCCUUCGGGGAGCGUACACAGGUGUUGCAUGGCUGUCGUCAGCUCGUG